CAAGAGGUAGUUUAAUGAAAAUAUUAAUUUUGGAGAUUAAAGAUAGAAUAAUUUUGUUUUUCUCUUGA
rnacentral:tRNA from 1 species